AAGAUGAAUAUGUGAGAUACUUGUUGUACAGACGGCGCGCACCGUUAUUUAAUGUAUAGCAUGAGCCGAAGGGGCAGGCAGAAACUCUCAGGCAAAAGGAACAUAUUCGGACA
rnacentral:ncRNA from 2 species